rnacentral:lncRNA from 1 species
AUAUUAUACAGCUCCUAAGAACUUUACAGGAGAAUAUUUAAUAAUAUGAAAAUAUGCUCAUAAUACUUUAAGUGAUAAAAAGCAAUUUUUAAAAUUAUGAAAAUUAUUCCAUUUUAAGGAGGCAAAUAUAUUUCUAAAAAUACAUGUACAUGGGCCAGGCACGGUGGCUCACGUCUGUAAUCCCAGCAAUUUGGGAGGCUGAGGUGGGCGGAUCAUGAGGUUAGGAGAUCGAGACCAUCCUGGCUAACACAGUGAAACCCCCUCUGAUAAAAAUACAAAAAAUUAGCCAGGUGUGGUGCAGGCGCCUAUAAUCCCAGCUACUCAGGAGUCUGAGGCAGGAGAAUGGCAUGAACCUGGGAGGCGGAGCUUGCAGUGAGCUGAGAUUUUGCAACUGCACUCCAGCCUGGGCUACAGAGCAAGACUCCACCUCAAAAAAAAAAAAAAUACAUGUACAUGUAGAAAAAAGACUGGAAGGUGAUACAUGAAAAUGUCAAUACGAUCUCAGUCUUUACCUACUGAACAGAGGAUGUUGUACACUGAUUACAUUUACCCUUUUCUUCCAUAGGAUCAUAGAAGUGUUCCUAUUAGGGAGAAUUCAGGCCGUCUCAAUUUCUGAAGGCUGGGAAGUCCAAGAGGAUAGCACUGGCAUCUGGCAAGGGCCUUCAUGCUGCAUCAUCCCAUGGUGGAAGGCAGAAGGGAAAAGAAUCAAUCAGAAUGAUGGACACAGCAUCUUUAUGGCCUAUCUAGUUUACUGUAGUUUUUAUGGGCUUAAGAAGAAGACCACCUUGUCUAAUCAUGAAAUUUUGAAAAAUUUAAACAUAAAAAAUAAAAUUCCUACAUUCUGGAACUUUUCAGCAAAUGUAUUAAGUCAACUAUUUCUAGCCUCUCUUUGCGUUAUGAAACAUACCCUUCUCUGCUAUUCUCACCAACUUCAGCAGCAAAGUUCUUUCAAAAAAUAAUAAAUAUUCAAUAAUGUUAUUGGCCUCUAAUUCCUAACAUAAUUUCUUUUCUCUUAUGGCCUACACAUCUUGUUUCUGGACAGUAUCACAUUUACUCCUUUGCUACUGGGCACAGUAGCCAAAGAUGGUUUGAGCUGUCCUCAAGUCUUGCUGAGCUGAGCAUCUUGACUGUAGUCACAGUGGCCUCUUUUCUUCAGGCUGAUAAUGCUGUCCAUUUCUUGAUCUGGGAAGUCCACUCACACCUCAUCUGUUCCUUCAUCCUUUGAUGAUCAUCUUGAAAUAAAUUCACAUCCUCCCUUUU